UAGGGAAUCUUCCGCAAUGGGCGAAAGCCUGACGGAGCAACGCCGCGUGAGUGAUGAAGGUCUUCGGAUCGUAAAACUCUGUUAUUAGGGAAGAACAAAUGUGUAAGUAACUAUGCACGUCUUGACGGUACCUAAUCAGAAAGCCACGGCUAACUACGUGCCAGCAGCCGCGGUAAUACGUAGGUGGCAAGAGUUAUCCGGAAUUAUUGGGCGUAAAGAGCGCGUAGGCGGUUUUUUAAGUCUGAUGUGAAAGCCCACGGCUCAACCGUGGAGGGUCAUUGGAAACUGGAAAACUUGAGUGCAGAAGAGGAAAGUGGAAUUCCAUGUGUAGCGGUGAAAUGCGCAGAGAUAUGGAGGAACACCAGUGGCGAAGGCGACUUUCUGGUCUGUAACUGACGCUGAUGUGCGAAAGCGUGGAGAUCAAACAGG
rnacentral:rRNA from 1 species